GUGCUCGCUUGGUAGCACAUAUACUAAAACUGGGCCCAUACAGAGAAGAUUGGCAUGGCCCCUGAGCAAGGAUGCCACGCCAAUUCGUGAAGCGUUCCAUAUUAAA